rnacentral:tRNA from 1 species
GGAGACGUGUCCGAGUGGCUGAAGGAGCACGCUUGGAAAGCGUGUAAGCGGGCAACUGUUUCAUGAGUUCGAAUCUCAUCGUCUCCGCCA